rnacentral:tmRNA from 4 species
GGGGGUGAAAGGCUUUGACAGAAAUUUCAUCUGGAAUAAGCAAGCCGAGUUCUGAGAUCUCGUCCUGCCCGCAAUGCUACGCAUAGCGUUGCAGGCGGGUAAACUCUCAGAAUUAAGAAUAAGUGCAAACUUAUUUUCAAAACCCGCUUACGCUUUAGCGUAAUGCGUGCCCUGUACCGAGCUUUGCUCUGGUUCAGGGCCAUCUCUCUGCUAAUUCUCGAUAAGCAAUAAGAGGUGUCAUAUAUCGAGAUAGGUAAUUAUUCUUGCUCCAAAUAACUACCGAAAUUAUGGAGCUCGGGUAUCAGAAAUUUUGUCUAUUUCAUAUUCUCUUACCUUAAAGAUAAAAUAGACUAAGCUUGCCCCGUUAGAUAUUCUAAUCUAAAAGGGACACGCCUCGUUAGAUAAACUUAUAUCUAACGGGGCUUGUAGAAUUAUUUCAGAAGAAUUUCUGGACGCGGGUUCAAUUCUCGUCACCUCCACUA